UCUUCGGAGAGUUUGAUCCUGGCUCAGGAUGAACGCUGGCGGCGUGCCUAAUACAUGCAAGUCGAGCGAACGUCAUAGAAGCUUGCUUCUAUGACGUUAGCGGCGGACGGGUGAGUAACACGUGGGCAACCUGCCUGUAAGACUGGGAUAACUUCGGGAAACCGAAGCUAAUACCGGAUAGGAUUUUCUCCUUCAUGGGGGAUGAUUGAAAGAUGGUUUCGGCUAUCACUUACAGAUGGGCCCGCGGUGCAUUAGCUAGUUGGUGAGGUAACGGCUCACCAAGGCAACGAUGCAUAGCCGACCUGAGAGGGUGAUCGGCCACACUGGGAC
rnacentral:rRNA from 1 species